rnacentral:rRNA from 1 species
AGUGAACGCUGGCGGUAGGCCUAACACAUGCAAGUCGAACGGCAGCACAGUAAGAGCUUGCUCUUACGGGUGGCGAGUGGCGGACGGGUGAGGAAUACAUCGGAAUCUACUUUUUCGUGGGGGAUAACGUAGGGAAACUUACGCUAAUACCGCAUACGACCUACGGGUGAAAGCAGGGGAUCUUCGGACCUUGCGCGAUUGAAUGAGCCGAUGUCGGAUUAGCUAGUUGGCGGGGUAAAGGCCCACCAAGGCGGCGAUCCGUAGCUGGUCUGAGAGGAUGAUCGGCCACACUGGAACUGAGACACGGUCCAGACUCCUACGGGAGGCAGCAGUGGGGAAUAUUGGACAAUGGGCGGAAGCCUGAUCCAGCCAUACCGCGUGGGUGAAGAAGGCCUUCGGGUUGUAAAGACCUUUUGUUGGGAAAGAAAAGCAGCAGGUUAAUACCCCGCUGUUCUGACGGUACCCAAAGAAUAAGCACCGGCUAACUUCGUG